GACAGAGGGUGCAAACGUUGUUCGGAAUUACUGGGCGUAAAGGGCUCGUAGGCGGCCAACUAAGUCGGACGUGAAAUCCCUCGGCUUAACCGGGGAACUGCGUCUGAUACUGGAUGGCUUGAGUUCGGGAGAGGGAUGCGGAAUUCCAGGUGUAGCGGUGAAAUGCGUAGAUAUCUGGAGGAACACCGGUGGCGAAGGCGGCAUCCUGGACCGACACUGACACUGAGGAGCGAAAGCCAGGGGAGCAAACGGG
rnacentral:rRNA from 1 species